rnacentral:rRNA from 1 species
GAUCCUGGCUCAGGAUGAACGCUGGCGGCGUGCCUAACACAUGCAAGUCGAACGAGGUAAAUAAGAUGAAGUUUUCGGAUGGAUUCUUAUUUACCGAGUGGCGGACGGGUGAGUAACGCGUGGGUAACCUGCCUCAUACAGGGGGAUAACGGUUAGAAAUGACUGCCAAUACCGCAUAAGCGCACAGUACCACAUGGUACAGUGUGAAAAACUCCGGUGGUAUGAGAUGGACCCGCGUCUGAUUAG